UACGUAGGGGGCAAGCGUUGUCCGGAUUUAUUGGGCGUAAAGAGCGUGUAGGCGGCCUGACAGGUCUGCUGUGAAAACUCGAGGCUCAACCUCGAGAUGUCGGCGGAAACCGUCUGGCUAGAGUCCGGAAGAGGAGAGUGGAAUUCCUGGUGUAGCGGUGAAAUGCGCAGAUAUCAGGAGGAACACCAAUAGCGAAGGCAGCUCGCUGGGACGGUACUGACGCUAAGGCGCGAAAGCGUGGGGAGCGAACAGG
rnacentral:rRNA from 1 species